CGUAACGCGUGGGAAUCUGCCCUUGGGUUCGGAAUAACUUCGGGAAACUGAAGCUAAUACCGGAUGAUGACGUAAGUCCAAAGAUUUAUCGCCUAAGGAUGAGCCCGCGUUGGAUUAGCUAGUUGGUGAGGUAAAGGCUCACCAAAGGCGACGAUCCAUAGCUGGUCUGAGAGGAUGAUCAGCCACACUGGGACUGAGACACGGCCCAGACUCCUACGGGAGGCAGCAGUGGGGAAUCUUAGACAAUGGGGGAAACCCUGAUCUAGCCAUGCCGCGUGAUCGAUGAAGGCCUUAGGGUUGUAAAGAUCUUUCAGUGGGGAAGAUAAUGACGGUACCCACAGAAGAAGCCCCGGCUAACUCCGUG
rnacentral:rRNA from 1 species